AAGCAUGUUUAACAAAUGUUCGCACACUCUCUGGCUUUUCGUCUGAGAUAAACAGUACUUCACCAAAGAGACUUGAGUAUCCAGUUCUUCGUUGACCUUCAGCAUUCAGUUCUUUGUCUUCACCUUUUCAGGAAGGAGUUCUCAGAGACAUCCUGGUAUGUAGACUUGCUAGAUGGCUUCAUCUGAAGGAGUUCCAAGAUGGCACAGCGGAUGGCAGCUUCAAAACAUGGAUCACCUCGUUCCACGACGCUGGACUGCACUAUGAGAGGGCACGAAUAUCAAGCCUUUGUGGGAUCACUAUGAACGCCCUAAGGCGAAAAGCUGGGACAGAUCUUUCCGGCAAUAUAGAAGGACAUUUGCAGGACGGCACUAUGAAAGAGGCUUCUUUGCCUUCUGUGAUAUCUGACUUCCAGCGCUGACAAAGUGACCGAUAUCUCUUUGAAUGGACUGACCCCAUAGUACAUCAAGGACCUCAUCCAAAUCUAUACUCCAGCGCUCAAAUUGAGGUCCGAGGGCCAGCUCCAGCCCGUGGUGCCUAGACCGAGAUUUAAAACCAGGGGGGACAGGGCUUUCUCUGUGGUGGGCCCCAGAAUUUGGAAUGCCCUCCCCCUCCAUGUCCUAACAGCCCCCACGGUGGAGUGCUUUAAGUCUUGUCUUAAGUCUUAGUGCUUUAAGUCUCGUCUUAAGACCCAUUUUUAUUCCCUGGCUUUUUAACUUUGCGUGAGUUUUGUGGUCCUCUGUGUCUUUUAUUUAUUUGACUACUUCAACCUACGUCUUUUAUUUAUUUUACUAUCUGUUUGAUUUUAUUGUUUUAUUUAUAGCAUCAUUUUAGAGUAAUACACUUAUUAUUUAUUGCUGAUUGUUAUAUGGAAAUGUUUGUUUUAUUGUUGAUUCUAUGUACAGCACUUUGGAGAUGUUUUUGUUGUUUAAAUGUGCUAUACAAAUAAAGUGGAUUGGAUUGGAUUGAAGUAAAAUCAUGUAGAGUGGUUGUCUUACUGCAGUAACCUCCUCAUAGACACUGUGUAGCUUAAGGCUACAAGAAGUUAUUUCUUCCUGCAGCCGGCACAUUAUCUCAACCAUGGGGGACAGAACCCAAUGUAUAUCUUUAAGAUUUUGAGUGAUGCUGUUGUAGCCAUUUCAUAGUGUCUCUGAGCUGAUCUCUAAGGUACUCUGUAUUUUGGACCAAAAACUCCUUUGUAUUCCGGUAUCCAUGUUCCUGACUAUCAUUAAUGUCAUGUCUGAUUUCCAUCAGAGGUUGAUUUAACUAUGGUAUAUGUUCCUUUUCAAUUUUCAUGUCCCACACCAUUACUUCUAGUUUGUGAACUGAAUGUUGCAAUUCUUCCAAGGGACAGGAGGUUACAACUGAGCAGUUAGAGAGUCACCAUCACAUAAAUAAAUAUCAAUUAGAGCCAUUGUGUUUAAGCGAACCUUUCAUUCCCGGGGUCUGAAGAAUUCAAUAUGUUCUUGUGGCUACCACCGCAGGGAGCCUGUUGUCCAGGGCAGCUAUUCUCAAACUUGGGGUCCCGACCCCAAUUGGGGUCGCGAGAUGAUUUCUGGGGGUCGCCAAAUCAUUUUGGAAGUCAGCUCUGUCUCCACUGUGUUAAAGUGUUCAUGUGUUUUAGUCUUUUU